AUAGCGUAUAUUAAAGUUGUUGCAGUUAAAAAGCUCGUAGUUGAACCUUGAGCCUGGCUGGCCGGUCCGCCUCACCGCGUGCACUGGUCCGGCCGGGUUUUUCCUUCUGGGGAGCCGCAUGCCCUUCAUUGGGUGUGUCGGGGAACCAGGACUUUUACUUUGAAAAAAUUAGAGUGUUCAAAGCAGGCAUUUGCUCGGAUACAUUAGCAUGGAAUAAUAGAAUAGGACGUGUGGUUCUAUUUUGUUGGUUUCUAGGACCACCGUAAUGAUUAAUAGGGAUAGUCGGGGGCAUCAGUAUUCAAUUGUCAGAGGUGAAAUUCUUGGAUUAAUUGAAGACUAACUACUG
rnacentral:rRNA from 1 species